rnacentral:rRNA from 1 species
CGAGCGAGAAGACGUAGCAAUACGUUUGUAAAGCGGCGAACGGGUGAGGAAUACAUGGGUAACCUACCCUCGAGUGGGGAAUAACUAGCCGAAAGGUUAGCUAAUACCGCAUACGGCUCCUGGUCUGCGGAUCGGGAGAGAAAGCGAUACCGUGGGUAUCGCGCUCUUGGAUGGGCUCAUGUCCUAUCAGCUUGUUGGUGAGGUAACGGCUCACCAAGGCUUCGACGGGUAGCUGGUCUGAGAGGACGAUCAGCCACACUGACACUGCGACACGGGCCAGACUCCUACGGGAGGCAGCAGUAAAGAAUAUUGCGCAAUGGGCGACAGCCUGACGCAGCGACGCCGCGUGGGGGAUGAAGGUCUUCGGAUUGUAAACCCCUUUCGGCAGGGAAGAUGGAACGGGUAACCGUUCGGACGGUACCUGCAGAAGCAGCCACGGCUAACUUCGUGCCAGCAGCCGCGGUAAUACGAAGGUGGCAAGCGUUGUUCGGAUUUACUGGGCGUACAGGGAGCGUAGGCGGUUGGGUAAGCCCUCCGUGAAAUCUCCGGGCCUAACCCGGAAAGUGCGGAGGGGACUGCUCGGCUAGAGGAUGGGAGAGGAGCGCGGAAUUCCCGGUGUAGCGGUGAAAUGCGUAGAGAUCGGGAGGAAGGCCGGUGGCGAAGGCGGCGCUCUG